rnacentral:lncRNA from 1 species
AUAUUUUCAAGCUUGUUUUCAAUAUCCUAAGAACUCCAGAAAUUAUUUUACAACAAAUAAUUAAAAAAUAAAAAGCAGAGCCCCUUAUGUAAUUCCAAAACUUGAGCAUUUAUCAAAUACUGGGAAACUUGAAACAAAACACCCCAGUCUGACACCUUUGCCCCGUUACACUGGUUCUCAGAAUGAUUCUCUUCAGCACAAUCUAUCCGUAUUGAUAAACUGUAUUUUUAUACAGUUUAUGUCAAUUUGAUUUUUAAUUGUAUUUUUAUUGUAUUUUGCACAGUUUUAUAUCAAUUUAUUGAUUUUUUGUUAUUGUAAUUGAUGUGUUCAAUUGAUAUGUUGUUUGUUUGUUUUUAAAGGAAAAUAAAAUAUUUUACAUGUCGCUCCUUGUACUACAGAUAAAUAAAAUAAAACACUGUGUUUUCUCUGAAGCAGUUCACCAUUGACAAAUUUGAGCGGUUGUUUCUGCGUUUAUGCAGUCGAAGAGCACUGGAAGCCUUGAAGGCAUUAUGUCAUACUACUUGCAUCACAUCGUCUAGGAGGCAACAUCUGCUGACAUGUCAGCAAGAACAUUGAAUAAUUCCAGACAAUUAAAGAGAAGUGAAAUAAAAAAAAUCCGGUGCGAUCAGUGCCUUCAAGAAAACCUAUGGCUUUCCAAGAGAGGCUUGCAAUUCCUGAGAACAAACAUACAUGAUCACAGAAAAUCAUGUGGAUAGCUUUCACGUAGAUGUUGAGGGUAUUGGUCCAUAAUAAAACAUAAAAAGAAAAAGUUGCA